CACCGCGGUUAUACGAAAGACCCUAGUUGACAAACACGGCGUAAGGGGUGGUUAGGGAACAAAUAAAAAUAAAGCCAAAGACCUCCUAAGCCGUUAUACGCACUCCGGAGACACGAAGCCCCAACACGAAAGUAGCUUUACCUAAACUUCGCCUGACCCCACGAAAGCUAAGAAA
rnacentral:rRNA from 3 species